CGAGUAGCUGGGACUACAGGCGCCCGCCACCUCGCCCGGCUAAUUUUUUGUAUUUUUAGUAGAGACGGGGUUUCACCGUGUUAGCCAGGAUGGUCUCGAUCUCCUGACCUCGUGAUCCGCCCGCCUCGGCCUCCCAAAGUGCUGGGAUUACAGGCGUGAGCCACCGCGCCCAGCCUAGAAUAGAUUUAAUAAAGUAUGAUGAAAUCAUAAUGUAAGAUGAGUCAUAAAUGGAGAUUUUUUUUUAAAGUUUCUGCCUAAAAAAAUAGGAUAUACAUUUUAAACAUACAGAUUAUUUUUUAAUUUUUUCAAAUUAUUUGAACAGGGAAAUAACUCUGCUAUAUAAAAGUCUGUUAUAACCAGAUACCAAUAUUUUAAAUUGUCUUCUUUUCAUUUUUCUUUUUUUUUUUUCUACUCCAGUGAUUUUCAAACUCUGGCACAGUUUACCAUAGUAGUAUUUUCUAUGGGUGAAUUACAUGCUUUUCUUUUGUCAAGCGGCUGAAGUGGUAAUUGUGAAAUGGGAGGGGAGCAAUAGAGAACUUACUAAUUUACUAGACCAAUUGUCUCAGUCAUUAAGCAAUAACUCCCAAUUCACCCUGCACCUCAGCCCCUAGCAACCACUAUUUUUUCUGUCUCUAUGAAGUUGUGAAAUAUAUAAGUGGUACCUUAUAAAAGUAGAGUCAUACAAUAUUUGGCCUUUUGUGACUAGUUUAUUUCACUUACAAUAAUGUCCUCAAGUUUCAUUCACUUUGUAGUAUAUGUCAGAAUACCCUUUCUUUUUAAGACUGAAUGAUUCCACUUCUGAAUGAUAAAUUACAUGCAUCACAGCCCUAAAGUCUAAAUCCCUUUCUUAAGGUGUAACACUAGAGGCAUUACUACCAAAAUAGGGAACUAGACAAGGAUUCUCUCUGUUGCCUCUGCUAUUUAACAUAGUAUUAGUGAUCAUUAGCCAGUAACAUUAAACAAGAGAAAGUAUUUGAGACUUAGAAAUUGGAGCAAUGGUUUUUUUAAUGCCAAGUGUAUAAUUAUAUGUCUGUAAAGCCCGUGAAAGUUGAUGGGAAAACUAUGACAGACAAUUUAGCAAAGUUACAGAUAUAAGAUUGAUAUGCAAAAAUCAAUGUUCUUUAUAUAUAUAAACAAAUUCCAACUGAAUGAUGUAAUUAAAGAGAAGACACCUCUUCAGUAGCAACAACAAAGAUAACGUAGAGGUUAAAUGAGUAAAAUUUACACAAGGAAUUUAAACCCUUUAAAAAACACAGAAGUCGACUCGAACAGAGCCUUUUUUGUCAACUAUGACAUUUUUGAAGAAUCAGCUGGCCGGGCGCGGUGGCUCUCGC
rnacentral:lncRNA from 10 species